rnacentral:rRNA from 1 species
CGGCGACGGGUGAGUAACGCGUGGGUAACCUACCCUGUACACACGGAUAACAUACCGAAAGGUAUGCUAAUACGGGAUAAUAUAUUUGAGAGGCAUCUCUUGAAUAUCAAAGGUGAGCCAGUACAGGAUGGACCCGCGUCUGAUUAGCUAGUUGGUAAGGUAACGGCUUACCAAGGCGACGAUCAGUAGCCGACCUGAGAGGGUGAUCGGCCACAUUGGAACUGAGACACGGUCCAA